AUCUAAUUAGUAUAACUAAGUACCAUAAGUUUCCAACUUGAAAGUCUACCUAGAUUAGAUAAUAAUUUUCUCCUCGGUAUUUGUCUCCAUCCUAUUUUUAAUCGGAGGGGCCUUAACACUUGUCUCAAUAGCUAUCUCAGAAAAAUUUUACUUCGACCGCGAAAAAGAAUCACCAUUCGAGUGUGGAUU
rnacentral:tRNA from 1 species